UGAUUUUUGGGAGUGCCUGAGCAUGCAAGUCGAACGCCCUGGUUUUUCGCAAGAAUGGCCAGGGAGUGGCGAACGGCUGAGUAACGCGUAAGUAACCUAUCCCUAAGUGGGGGAUAACUUGCCGAAAGGCAGGCUAAUACCGCAUAUUCUGGUAAGCGUUUAGCUUAUCAGCAAAGCUUUUGCGCUUGGGGAGGGGCUUGCGUCUGAUUAGAUAGUUGGUAGGGUAAUGGCCUACCAAGUCGGUGAUCAGUAGCUGGUCUGAGAGGACAACCAGCCAGACGGGGACUGAGAUACGGCCCUGACUCCUACGGGAGGCAGCAGCAAGGAAUUUUGCGCAAUGGGCGAAAGCCUGACGCAGCGACGCCGCGUGGGGGAUGACGGCCUUCGGGUUGUAAACCCCUUUUCUCGAGGAAGAAAUAUGACGGUACUCGAGGAAUAAGUCUUGGCUAACUACGUGCCAGCAGCCGCGGUAAUACGUAGAAGGCGAACGUUAUCCGGAUUUACUGGGCGUAAAGAGGGUGUAGACGGUUCUUUAAGUCAGUUGUGAAAUCUCCCGACUCAAUUGGGAGACUGCAAUUGAUACUGGAGAGCUUGAGGGCAUCAGAAGAAAGCAGAAUUCACGGUGUAGCGGUGAAAUGCGUAGAUAUCGUGAGGAAUACCAGUGGCGAAGGCGGCUUUCUAGGAUGCUCCUGACGUUGAGGCCCGAAAGUGUGGGGAGCGAAACGGAUUAGAUACCCGUGUAGUCCACACCCUAAACGUUGAAUACUAGGUAUAGGGGGUAUCGACCCUCUCUGUGCCGAAGCUAACGCUCUAAGUAUUCCCGCCUGGAGGACUACGGCCACAAGGCUA
rnacentral:rRNA from 1 species